GACGAACGCUGGCGGCGUGCUUAACACAUGCAAGUCGAACGGAAAGGCCCUGCUUUUGUGGGGUGCUCGAGUGGCGAACGGGUGAGUAACACGUGAGUAACCUGCCCUUGACUUUGGGAUAACUUCAGGAAACUGGGGCUAAUACCGGAUAGGAGCUCCUGCUGCAUGGUGGGGGUUGGAAAGUUUCGGCGGUUGGGGAUGGACUCGCGGCUUAUCAGCUUGUUGGUGAGGUAGUGGCUUAGCAAGGCUAUGACGGGUAGCCGGCCUGAGAGGGUGACCGGAACCGUUGGAAUUGAGCUGCGGCACGGACCACUACGGGAGGCAGCACAGUGGUAGGUAGCAUAAUGCACGGAAGCCUGAUGCAGGAACGCCGCGUGCGGGGUGACAGCCUUCGGUUUGUAGCGCGAAUUCGCGUGUGACGGAACGUAAAUGACGGUACCAGAUGAAGAAGCACCGGCUAACUACGUG
rnacentral:rRNA from 1 species